AGAGUUUGAUCCUGGCUCAGGACGAACGCUGGCGGCGCGCCUAACACAUGCAAGUCGAACGAGCGAGAGAGAGCUUGCUUUCUCAAGCGAGUGGCGAACGGGUGAGUAACGCGUGAGGAACCUGCCUCAAAGAGGGGGACAACAGUUGGAAACGACUGCUAAUACCGCAUAAGCCCACGGCUCGGCAUCGAGCAGAGGGAAAAGGAGCAAUCCGCUUUGAGAUGGCCUCGCGUCCGAUUAGCUAGUUGGUGAGGUAACGGCCCACCAAGGCGACGAUCGGUAGCCGGACUGAGAGGUUGAACGGCCACAUUGGGACUGAGACACGGCCCAGACUCCUACGGGAGGCAGCAGUGGGGAAUAUUGCACAAUGGGGGAAACCCUGAUGCAGCGACGCCGCGUGGAGGAAGAAGGUCUUCGGACUGUAAACUCCUGUUGUUGAGGAAGAUAAUGACGGUACUCAACAAGGAAGUGACGGCUAACUACGUGCCAGCAGCCGCGGUAAAACGUAGGUCACAAGCGUUGUCCGGAAUUACUGGGUGUAAAGGGAUCGCAGGCGGGAAGACAAGUUGGAAGUGAAAUCCAUGGGCUCAACCCAUGAACUGCUUUCAAAACUGUUUUUUCUUGAGUAGUGCAGAGGUAGGCGGAAUUCCCGGUGUAGCGGUGGAAUGCGUAGAUAUCGGGAGGAACACCAGUGGCGAAGGCGGCCUACUGGGCACCAACUGACGCUGAGGCUCGAAAGUGUGGGUAGCAAACAGGAUUAGAUACCCUGGUAGUCCACACUGUAAACGAUGAUUACUAGGUGUUGGAGGAUUGACCCCUUCAGUGCCGCAGUUAACACAAUAAGUAAUCCACCUGGGGAGUACGACCGCAAGGUUGAAACUCAAAGGAAUUGACGGGGGCCCGCACAAGCAGUGGAGUAUGUGGUUUAAUUCGACGCAACGCGAAGAACCUUACCUAGUCUUGACAUCCUGCGACGCACAUAGAAAUAUGUGUUUCCUUCGGGACGCAGAGACAGGUGGUGCAUGGUUGUCGUCAGCUCGUGUCGUGAGAUGUUGGGUUAAGUCCCGCAACGAGCGCAACCCUUAUGGUCAGUUACUACGCAAGAGGACUCUGGCCAGACUGCCGUUGACAAAACGGAGGAAGGUGGGGAUGACGUCAAAUCAUCAUGCCCUUUAUGACUUGGGCUACACACGUACUACAAUGGCGUUAAACAAAGAGAAGCAAGACCGCGAGGUGGAGCAAAACUCAGAAACAACGUCCCAGUUCGGACUGCAGGCUGCAACUCGCCUGCAC
rnacentral:rRNA from 1 species